rnacentral:rRNA from 1 species
AUUCCAGCUCCAAUAGCGUAUAUUAAAGUUGUUGCAGUUAAAAAGCUCGUAGUUGGAUUUCUGGUGAGAUAUCUUUAGCCUGACCGAGAGGUCUUGUUUGAUGAUUAUUUCGCCCUUCUUGUCAAGAACCUUUUGAUCUUCAUUGGUCGAAAGUGGACUGGCAUCUUUUACUGUGAAAAAAUUAGAGUGUUCAAAGCAGGCAUCGCCGUUGAAUACAUUAGCAUGGAAUAAUAAGAUAGGACUUUGGUGGUCUAUUUUGUUGGUUUGCACGCCAAAGUAAUGAUUAAUAGGGAUAGUUGGGGGUAUUCGUAUUCUAUUGCUAGAGGUGAAAUUCUUAAAUUUAUGGAAGACGAACUACUGCGAAAGCAUUUACCAAGGAUGUUUUCAUCA